rnacentral:sRNA from 1 species
CUCCGUACGGGGAAGGAUGAGAAGCUUCGACUAAGGUUCGAUUCGAGCGAAAGCGAGAAAGCGUUGCCGCAGGCAACGACCCGAAGGGCGAAACGCGCAGCGCUGAGUCAUCCUUCCCCCACCACCA